CCUACGGGAGGCAGCAGUGGGGAAUAUUGGGCAAUGGAGGAAACUCUGACCCAGCGACGCCGCGUGCGGGAUGAAGGCCUUCGGGUUGUAAACCGCUUUCAGUAGGGAAGAAGCGAAAGUGACGGUACCUACAGAAGAAGCACCGGCUAACUAUGUGCCAGCAGCCGCGGUAAUACAUAGGGUGCAAGCGUUGUCCGGAAUUAUUGGGCGUAAAGAGCUCGUAGGUGGUUCGUCACGUCGGAUGUGAAAAUCUGGGGCUCAACCCCAGACCUGCAUUCGAUACGGGCGAUCUAGAGUGUGGUAGGGGAGACUGGAAUUCCUGGUGUAGCGGUGGAAUGCGCAGAUAUCAGGAGGAACACCAAUGGCGAAGGCAGGUCUCUGGGCCAUUACUGACACUGAGGAGCGAAAGCGUGGGGAGCGAACAGGAUUAGAUACCCUGGUAGUCCACGCCGUAAACGGUGGGCACUAGUUGUGGGAACCUUCCACGGUUUCUGCGACGCAGCUAACGCAUUAAGUGCCCCGCCUGGGGAGUACGAUCGCAAGNUUAAACUCAAAGGAAUUGACGG
rnacentral:rRNA from 1 species